rnacentral:lncRNA from 1 species
AUGCCAGUAGGAUGUACCCCUCGCCAUCACAGCACGGAAAUAUACAGUUCGUUGGUUUUUCCUCGAGUUUUUCUGUGUGCCGGGAGAGCGGGGGUGCUGGCCAGCCUGGACCUGUUUCCAGCAGGCGCCCGGAGACUCAUGGCGGCCCCUUGGGCGACCGCGGCUGUUACGGGAUCUUCGUGGCUAAGAUUUGAUGGCGCUUUACACAUCGGUGUUGAACUGCAACUAGAAGGGGUAGAGUGCAAACGAAAGGCUCCGGGAGACAGCGAACAGAGGUGGUACCCCGAGCUCCACCCAGAUUCAAGGCCGGCGCUUAGGGGUGCGUGGCGAGUGCUCAGCAGGUCACAGCGUCUCGAAAGGUCAGCGAUCGAUGGGGACCGGGGUGCGUCUGCGUGCGCGCGCGCCCGAGUCCCCCCUACUCCAAGCUCCCCCGUGAGCUCCAGGGAUCGUGGCCGCCCGACCACGGCGCCCGCCCGUCGUUUCGUCCGCUCAGCGCUCCGGCCUGAGUGGGCCCCGGGAGCUGGGAGCAGGGUAGGGCGCCCGCGAGGCUUCCAGGAGGCGCCCGGCUCCCUGCGUUCCGCGCCUCGCUUUGCUCGUUUCUCUCAGUCCUCCUCCGUUCUCCCUUCCCGCUCCCUUCGCCUCCUUUCCAUUUUCCUUCUCCUCCACAAGUUGAUUCCUGCGCGCCCCCUACGUGCCACGCGCUCUGGUCUCGGGAAUGGAGCCGGCCCAGAGCACGGCUGGGCGGUAAGCCCAGGUUGCGGGCGGAGAGUGGGAUGCGGGUGGAAGAGCCCGGGGCCGGAGGCGGGGACGGGGACGAAAAGAAGGCGAAGGGGAAGCCCCGGCCUCGGGCGCGAGUUACGAGCUGCGGCGCACGCUCCCGCGCUCUCGGGGAUCCCGAGUCCGAGGGAGGGCGUGCCGUGGGGCCACAGCGCGCGGCGCCCCUGCCUCCCAUCACUUGCGUCCCGGGCCGAGGCGGCAGGAGACCGCACUCGGCACUGCCCUGCAACAGGAGGCCACGCGGGCUGGUUUCUCAGACGCCGGUGA